UUCAAUAGUCUCUUGCAGAACACCAGUUCUCGUCCGAUAACUGAAGUUAAGCAACGUCGGGCUCGGUUAGUACUUGGAUGGGUGACCGCCUGGGAACACCGAGUGCUGUAGACU
rfam:Lottia gigantea unplaced genomic scaffold LOTGIsca_33, whole genome shotgun sequence.